rnacentral:rRNA from 1 species
AACGAACGCUGGCGGCAUGCCUAACACAUGCAAGUCGAACGAGACGUUCGGGUCUAGUGGCGCACGGGUGCGUAACGCGUGGGAACCUGCCCUUAGGUUCGGAAUAACUCCCCGAAAGGGGUGCUAAUACCGGAUAAUGUCUUCGGACCAAAGAUUUAUCGCCUUUGGAUGGGCCCGCGUUGGAUUAGCUAGUUGGUAGGGUAAAAGCCUACCAAGGCGACGAUCCAUAGCUGGUCUGAGAGGCUGAUCAGCCACACUUGGACUGAGACACGGCCCAGACUCCUACGGGAGGCAGCAGUGGGUAAUAUUGCACCAUGGGCGAAAGCCUGAUCCAGCAAUGCCGCGUGAGUGAUGAAGGCCUUAGGGUUGUAAAGCUCUUUUACCCGGGAUGAUAAUGACAGUACCGGGAGAAUAAGCUCCGGCUAACUCCGUG